AUGCCAGCAAUUCAAGCGGAGAUUUCGGGGGGAUUUACUUUUACCCUUCAUCUUCUACCGAUUCUCGUCAAGAAAAGAAGAGAAAGAAAUGAACAAAAUAUGGAAAUUUUGCGUUGCUUACCUACCGGAAGAACUGUCUGGCACUUAUUCAAAAAUCGUUGUAACGAUAAGAAAUCUGGAGUUCAAUUCUGCAAUCUAUUCUUCUUCUUCAUAUCUUAUUUUUGUAUUAAUUUUUGCGAUUCUGUGAUUCCAUGA